rfam:Trichosporon asahii var. asahii CBS 8904 unplaced genomic scaffold scaffold00035, whole genome shotgun sequence.
UUCCUGAUCGUAUAACGGCUAGUAUGCUCGCUUGUCACGCGGGAGAUCGGAGUUCGAUUCUCCGUCAGGAAG